AGGCAGUUAUCCCCACCUCCAAACUUCCGGUUCCGGCCCUCCGAAUAGGGCCGAGGCCGCUAUGGAGGAACCAGAGAUGCAGCUCAAGGGGAAGAAAGUCACAGAUAAGUUCACUGAGAGUGUCUACGUCCUGGCCAAUGAGCCGUCCGUGGCCCUGUACCGGCUGCAGGAGCAUGUGCGCCGCUCUCUGCCUGAACUGGCCCAACAUAAGGCUGACAUGCAGCGGUGGGAGGAGCAGAGCCAGGGAGCCAUCUACACAGUGGAGUAUGCCUGCAGCGCUGUGAAGAACCUUGUUGACAGCAGCGUCUACUUCCGCAGUGUAGAGGGUCUCCUCAAACAGGCCAUCAGCAUCCGAGACCACAUGAAUGCCACGGCCCAGGGCCACAGACAACUCCCUUUGUUCAUCUCACGGUGGCUGGUGACUUCCUCUCGUCCUUUCGCCUCUGUAACAGAAGAGUUCAGUCACUCAGCACCCAGGGUCCUGAGCUCUACUGUGUGCCUGGCCCUGGGCUGGGUGCGGGGGAUGCAGCAGUGACCAAGACAGGUGUGCUCAUGGUCUUCUCACAGAGAGAUGCACAGCAACCAGCCCCGAGGAACCACCCCCACCCUCCUCAGCCUGAUCCCAGAAGAGACUUGGAGGUGCUUCAGCCCCUCUGACCCAGCCAGUCCAAACUGGGCCCUUGGACACAGCCUUGAGGAACUUGGCACGGACCGAAGACAAAGCAAGUAUGGCCAGCGCAUUCCUCCUGUUUCCGCCUGGAGCUUCCAGGCCAGCCAUGGGUGUCCUGAGACGAGGCUUUGCUGCCCCUGGAUUCUUACCUGCCCCCUCAUUGGCCGUGGACACGGCCAAAGCAGUGGCUCCUUGAACCAAUAACUGCCACCACUACAGCCCUGAUCACGCACCUGCUUGUGCUGGAGCUGUCACAAGAGUCAUCUUUCAUCCUUACAGCCCUGUAAGGCAGGUGUCACCCCAAUACAGAUGGGAAAAGAGAGUCUCCAAGAGGUGGCAUGAUUUGUGCAAGGUCACACAGCUAGGGAAGAGUAGAUCCCAGGCUAGUUUGAUCCCAGCCCUGCCUCUGACAUGCUGUGUGGCUUGGGGACUGGUGCUAACCCUCUCUGGUCCUGCCUUUCUCCAUCUGACAAAAAAGCCUGGACUGGACCCUCUCUCCAGGCUGAGGCAGACAUUUGUGUUCCUGCCUGCCUUGACAAUGUUCUGCUUUGAGCAGAAAUGCCUACCCCAGCUCAGGCUAUAUGGAAAAGCCACCCUAAGUCCAGGGGUGGACAUGGGACCCUGUACUGGCUCAUCAGAGCCCCCCAUCUCCCAGGUCACAGUGAUUAAUUUGAGAUGGGCAUGUGGUCUAGUGAGAGGUCUUCCCCUAGAAUUUUGCUGGAAAAGUGUGAAAUGUACCAUCUUCUAUUGGGGUUGUUGAGCUAGGCAGAUGGAAGGGGACACCUGAGAACUUUUCAUGGGGCCCUGGAUCCAGCUGUACCUAACACUAGAAAAUCUUGAUUCUUCAAUUUCAUGAUUCCCUAAAGUUACUAUAUAUGCCAAAAUUGC